rnacentral:rRNA from 1 species
AUGAGAGCUCUCUUCUGGAAUAUUCGUGGUUUCAGUGCUAGGGGGCGCCGAGACCAGAUUCAUGACUUGGUUUGUGGUGAACAUAUUAAUAUUUUAGGGUUGGUCGAAACUUUUAAGGAAUUCUUUUCCCCUUCUGAACUUUCUGCGCUGGCUGGGAUGGAUAGGUUUGACUGGCACUUUCUCCCUGCUUCGGGGCAUUCUGGGGGCAUCUUGAUUGGGUCCAAGCGGGACAUGUUUGACUUCAUUGCUUUUGAUCAUGGCAUUUUUUGGGCUAGCUGUGUGGUUCAUCAUCGUCAGCUGAACACUUUGUGGGAAUUUAUGGUGGUAUACGGCCCCGCGGAUCACUCGCUUGCUCCUCUUUUUUUGGAUGAACUUUCGAUUAAGAUUGAAGCCUGCAAUAUUCCUCUUUUAAUUGGGGGUGAUUUCAAUUUGUUACGCUCUCCAGCCAACAAGAACAGUCCUAAUUUCUCUUGGCCUCUCGCCAGUGCUUUUAAUGAUUUCAUUAGUAAUUGCGCGCUUCGUGAGCUCCCUAGGGUGGGGGCGCGGUUCACUUGGUCUAACCAUCAAUCCUCUCAUGUCCGGUCGGUGCUGGAUAGGGUGUUUGUGUCUGAUCGGUGGGACUCGUUGUUUCCCCGCGCGCUUCUUAAGGCCAGGCCUGCGGUUGGCUCUGAUCAUGUUCCCCUGGUCCUGGAUGCGGGUAUCCUUUCCCUCGUUUCUCCCUCCCAUUUCUAG